rnacentral:antisense_RNA from 1 species
ACAUCAUCUACUAAAUUGAUUUCACACCCCGCUAAUGGAUGGUGAGGCACAGUUUGAAAAACUGCAUUCUUUCAGGACACUGAAUGGUCAGAACCCAAUGUGCUUUUAUUCAUUCAUUCAACAAAUAUUUGUGGCCAUGUAUAAUGUAUCAGGUGCUGUAUUUACUGUACUUCAUGCCAGGAAAGCAACAGAGAAGAAAACAUACCCAGUCCAGUCCCUGACCUCAUGUCAUUUACAAUCUCGGCUAAUCAAGUUCACAAAUAAAUAAUUCCAAAUCAUGAUGGGAGUGAAGCCAUAGAGGAUAAGAGGGCUCGGGGUGGGGUGAUCAGAGGUCUCUGAGGCAAUGAUCUGGAAGCUGCCACCUACAAGAUAAAGAGUAAGCAAGAUAGAGACAGCAGGAAUGAGCUCUCCGACGGAGGGCAUGAACAGCAAGUGCAAAGGCCCUGCGACUCGAAAGAGCAUGAAAGACUGAGGAAGCGGCCAGUGUGGCUCCAACACAGUGGAGGAGUGGGGGGAUCCUACUGAGAUAGAGGCCCUGGGCUGAAUAAUUCUCAUCCUUCAAGGCCCAACUCCAGCCAAUGGCACCGACCUCCUGGACCUGCUAGGCAGAAGUGGUGGCUCCCUCUCAGCUGACCCCAGAGCACUUCCUUAGCUCCUGCUGAUCUCAGAGCACACACACCAAUCCACUCUGGCCACUCAGCAAUUUUUCUUGAUGGCCCUGGCAUGGCACCUAUGCUGGGGUCAGACCCUCAACCAGCCCUUCAGUGUUGAAAUGCACAACCUCAGCCCUCUAGCCUCAGCGGAGGAAGCAGGGCUCUUCAGUUUGGGAGAACCAUAUACAACCAGAAGGGGCCAAAAUAUCUGAAGCCCUCAGGAGCUGGCUCCUCCACAGCUCUCAGGAAUGACAGUAAACACAGACGGCCCUGCAUGUAUUCCGGCUAUGGCUGCCUUCCUCCUGGGCUGCACAUCAGGCUAACAAGCCCAGCCCUCAGCUUCACAGGGAUUGGAGAGCUGGUGACCCUAGUCAAGGAAGCUGGUGACCCUGGAUCAGUUGCCUCCCCUCUCUGUGCCUAAAUCCCCCACCCCACUUCUGUCAAUUAGGAGGAUGAUGCCUUCUUCAAAGUGUUGUCAUAAAGAUUAAAUCCUUAUUAAAGUCU